AUAUAUCUCCUCUCAUAACAUAACCAAACUGCAAACAGCACCAUAGCUAUGGCCUCUAGAUUGAUCCCUCUUAAGUUUUCAACUCAAGUCCUUCGUCCAACCAUUCUCCCUGCCAAGAUCGAAAUCUCCGAUAACUCCCCACGGACACCGUUUUCAGCAGUUUCACCGGCUCAUCACCAUCUCCUUGAAAUCCCAAGAGCUCCCAUACAUAAAACCCUGGAAACAAUUUUUGAGGAAGAGAGCCAGGAGGAAAAUCUCGAGUUGUCCACUUCCUCGGCCUCCUUGUCAGGUUACUCAUCGUCGUGCAACUGCGACGCGAGUUCAAGGAGGUUGCUUCGUUUUAUAGCGCUGCUAAUGAUGCAGAAACAUUCUCAAUCAUCAACUCAGGAGUGCAAGUGUUGUUAAGGGGGCUGUGCUUAGGAAUUAUGAUAUGUCUUUUGAGGUCCACUCAAAAUAAUUAAGCCUUAGGCCAAAAUGUUGUAUACAAGUAACAAGCCUUCCUACAAUUUGAUUAGGGGUUUGUUCGUUAUAUAUUAAUUUAAUGUUAAUUAGUUUCGUAUCAAGUUAUAGUAAUACUCUAUAUCCCUCUGCCUUAAUCUUUAAUAGGUAUAACUAUAUAUAUGGUGUGCAUAAAAAUUAAACACAUAACCAAUUUUCCAAAUAGAUUAUAAGUUAUAAAUAAGAGUCACGCUCAAGAGAACCGGUACUUAAAAUAGGAACUAUAACAUCAGUUCUGCUGCAAAACUCUAAAUUUUAAAUAGAUUUUUAGAGUCUAAAUCUAAAUCAUGCUUUUUGCUUAAUUCGUUGUGUGUGUUCAAAAUAAUUUUAAAAUAUAGGGUACAUAAACACGACACUUUUUGCAUGUGCAGUUCUGUUGGAGAAUUAUUAAUACUAAAAGGUUCUAAGAUUCUUAGGCUAAUUAUUCUGAGAGAAAUAUGACCCUUAUUUUAAAUAUAAUAAAUAAAUUUUUAAGUUCAAUCAAACUUCACCUAAAAUACAUUCAAAAUGAUCAUAUUUUAUAAUCAUUUUCAAUAUUGGAUCCCUUAGACUUGCAGUGAGGAUGCAUAACUAAAGUCUAAUCAUCUAAAACAGUAUAUUAAAAUUGUUACUGCUUUACAAUAAUUUUAAACAUUUACUAAUUUCCUCAAAUUAAUUUUGAGAAUAUACAUGCAUGGCUAUAGCAUGACAUUAACCAAUUAUCCCAGCUGCAUGCAUAGUUUUCUUUCAAAGUACAAACCGAGUUAAUGUCAUGAUAACAGGGGCAACACCAAUAGCUAGCUGCUGGUAGCACUCUUUAGGGACAUGUUAUUAACAAUUUAAUAUUGUUAUCUUUUAUUUUCCCCUUAUUUAUACAUUUGUCGUUUUUUCAAAAAACAGUCUGAAGCAUACCUUAACCCUAACCGAGGGUCAAUACUUUUAAAUAAUACUUGUAUUUCUGAUAUGACUUACAAACGAAAUACAUCCAACAUUUUUUAAACGUUCAGUAUCCCUCUGCAUGAAUAUACCAACCCCUCUCAAAUAGAGCGUUAAUUGUCAUGUGAUAUCAUGUUAGCACCUUGUUAAAACUUCUUGAGAAAAAGAAAACCUGCGAAAAUUUUAUAAUAUAUAUAACUUUCGAAAAUUAAUAACUAGCGUAUUACGUUAAGUGUCGAAUUCUAUUAAAAUAUUAGAAUUAGUAUUUAAAAGUUAAUAGGAGGCUUUAACUGAUCAUGUAUUAUAUUAUAAAUAAUAAAUAAUUAUAUAGUAUUGUCAAAGGAAGAUAAAAUGCCAAAACUCAGCACGUAAAGUUUUUAAGCAAACACAACAUAUGUAACUAUGUAAGAUUUUAUACAGAUAAAAUAUUUUAGUUUCAACCUUGACCCAGAAAAAAAAGAAGGAAAUACACAUAUAGAUGUCGUAGAGAUUGUAAUUAGGGGUAUGUUUGGAUGUGUUUUUAAAAACUGUUAUGCUCUUAUAAAAAAUGUCUGAAAGAAAGCGUUGUAGAAAUCAGAUAAUCGGUAAUGUUUUUAAUAUUUGCAUAUUUUAAUUUUUAAGUAAUAAUAAAAAAAUUGAGGAGAUUUGAAGGUAAAAUUUAUUGAUAGUUUUACCGCAAAAACUGAAAUUUGCAAAAGCAUGGGGAUCUGCUUUUUUUUUUUUAAACGGUUUUUGAAAUAAAAACUGCUAUUCAAAAAAUUACUUUUAAAAUUUUCAAAUAAUUUAUUACCAAUCAUUCAGUAAAAAGCUAGCUACUGUUUAUAAUGUUGAUGCUAUUUAUGUUGAUGUCAAAUCCUUAGAUAACGAUAAACUCACAAUUAUUGAGAGAAAGCACGGGAGAGAGUAUUUUGAACUAAAAAUGCAUGGGGCAUAACUUUCAAAUUACGAAAUGAUUAUAAUCUUCCAAAUUAAUUAGCUGUUUGUUCAAUAGUAGACUAGUAGUGCAAGCUAAGCUGGGGCAUGCAAGAAAAGAGACGAUAAUCACCUGCGCCGUAUUUGCAAGGGCACGUACCUUUCAAAUAUAUUUUCAAAAAAGGACUUAUUUGUUGUGCACAAUAUAACAAAUUUAGGCCAUCUAUCCAGGGAACUAUGGAAUAUAGUGAUGUUAAUUUACACUCAUAAAUAUUGUCAGCAAGUCGGCCUUGUGAAGAAGACCGAUACGGUAGAUGUGGCCUUUGCUUGACAAGUUUGCUAUGAACCUUAUCUUGUUUCCCAGCUUAAUAAUUUUCUUGCAUUUCAGUAAUGGACGUCAAUGUGACGAACUCUUUUUGGUCAUCACUUAUCAGUUAGUAUCAAAUUGCCAAAGGAGGACUGUUGGGCUAAUUUAAGUUGCAUUAUUGUAAUUCGCCACCAUUUUUUUGCUCAAAUAUGUUUACCAUUUGACCUUGGAAAUUUAGUAGGCUGAAAUAGGGUUUUUACGAGCGAUUCAAUUUCGGUCGACCCAAUUCCAACGAUGCUAAUUCCAGUCAAAAAAUAGAACGAUCGGAAUAUGGGAUCAACAACGACUAGAUGCAGACUUAGGUUGGUAUUUUGUGGAUAUUAAUCGAUAAUUACGAUUAAUAAUCAAGAACUCUAUAAAAUAAAAAUUGACUUGGAAGUAAUGUUGAUAAGUAAUCGAUUUUGUGUCCAAUAAUUCGGUCGUUAUCUAGAAACUCAGGUUCUUAAAAUAUCGAAAUUAUCGCUCGUAAUCGAUCAGUAGUCAAGAUGAGUCCACUCUCUUAAAAAAGUUUGACCCGUAAAUUAUAAAUAAAUAUAUAUAACGAUUAAUUAUCCGAUCGACGGUUCGGUCACAAUGACAUGAUUUUUUAAAAUUCCGAUCACAAAAAUUUCUUUUGAUUUGUUUUGCUAUUCAAGUUUUAUUAUUUAACUCUGUGGUUCAUUAAUUAUAGUAUUGUGUUUAUAGCCUGCGGUCCCCAUAUCAGUGACCUCAAAAAUAA
rnacentral:lncRNA from 1 species